AAAAAAAUUAAAGGUUACCGAGACAAAAUACCAUCAAAUCUUUCAUAAGGCCCUACCUCCCAGACGACGCAAGACAAAAAAAUCUACACCAUUUACAAUAGAUCUUACUAAUGUGGGCGAUGAAAUGGCACAAGUGUCCACUAAAGUGCAAAACCAGGAGAAUGAAAAAAGCAAUUCAAGCAGGUACAAACACAUAGCAAUAGAGAAAUAUUGAAUGGAGAAAAAUUUUCCAAAAAUAUUUGUGCAAUGAUGAGAGGGGGGUAGUAACAUUUCAGUGUAGUAUUAAAUUUACUAUGUAGUAAUUAUUUAAUAUGAGUGAGGACUAUACCAUUACACAUAGUCCACUUUUCUUUUCCUAAA